GACGAACGCUGGCGGCGUGCCUAAUACAUGCAAGUCGAGCGCAGGAAAUCGACGGAACCCUUCGGGGGGAAGUCGACGGAAUGAGCGGCGGACGGGUGAGUAACACGUAAAGAACCUGCCCUCAGGUCUGGGAUAACCACGAGAAAUCGGGGCUAAUACCGGAUGGGUCAUCGGACCGCAUGGUCCGAGGAUGAAAGGCGCUUCGGCGUCGCCUGGGGAUGGCUUUGCGGUGCAUUAGCUAGUUGGUGGGGUAAUGGCCCACCAAGGCGACGAUGCAGAGCCGACCUGAGAGGGUGAUCGGCCACACUGGGACUGAGCCACGGCCCAGACUCCUACGGGAGGCAGCAGUAGGGAAUCUUCCACAAUGGACGAAAGUCUGAUGGAGCAACGCCGCGUGAACGAUGAAGGCCUUCGGGUCGUAAAGUUCUGUUGUAAGGGAAGAACAAGUGCCGCAGGCAAUGGCGGCACCUUGACGGUACCUUGCGAGAAAGCCACGGCUAACUACGUGCCAGCAGCCGCCGUAA
rnacentral:rRNA from 1 species